AUGGCCGUCCCUAUCUUUGCACCAUCAACCUUUCUCUCCUAAACUCAUCCAAAGGCUACUCCACUUCUAUCUGAACUCUUCUUAGCCAUUGUCCCAACCUUGUAUCAGCUUCUCAUAACUUUUUGAAGCUUCAUAGAACUCUUCUCAAGAUCUUCAAGAGCUUGCCCUAUUUAUGCACAAGCUCCAUUCUUCUCUUCAGUUCAACAGCGAAUCACCAGGAAGUUUAAUAAAUCUCAUAGGAGUUGGGAUGAAGAGUUAUCCCACUUUCAAAUCAGGUGAUUCCAGUUUCCCAGUUUGGGAAUAGCACAACUUCUUCGUCGUUCUAAUCAAACCAGGAUGAAUCACUUUGUAAGAAGCCUGAUUUGGAUACAUAAAGUGGUGGAGAAUCACCAGGAAGUUGAAUAAAUCUCAUAGGAGUUGGCAUGAAGAAGUUAUCCCACUUUCAAAUCAGGUGAUUCCAGUUUCCCAGUUUGGGAAUAACACAGCUUCUUCGUCGUUCCAAUCAAACCAGGAUGAAUCUCUU
rnacentral:lncRNA from 1 species